GUGUUAAACACUCAGGAGGGAAAUGGAGCCGCUGCACAUAAACUCGGCGUGAACGAGUCCGGCGUUGGAGACGCAGGGCUGCGUCUUUGUGGAAAACCGAGAGCGGCUUAUAUGUACGUUUCCAGUUUUUUUUUUUUUUAAAUUGUAGGUGCGCUCUGUAGUCCGGAAAAUACAAUAUUUAUUUAUUUCAAAGAUGACUCCUUGAGAUGUAAUAUCACAUUUGUGAGGGGGUCCUUACGGAACAUAAAGAUAACCAUCAAUAAUAAUUCUGGAUUCUGCACCGCAGAACCAUUCGUUGUACUGUGGUAAAAUUAAAAAACCUGCUGUCUUUACUGCUUGGCUGCAACUGAUCACCACAGAAAAUAUAAUCCGAAAGCACCAGAAUUAGAAUUAAAUUGAACAGAAUUGUUGCUGGGUUGGCUUUGCCUGGAUCAGAUCUAUGUUUGCACUGUAAAAAAA